rnacentral:rRNA from 1 species
UACAGAGGCCUCGAGCGUUAGGCGGAAUCACUGGGCUUAAAGCGUGUGUAGGCGGACUGGUAAGUACCUUGUGAAAUCCCACAGCUUAACUGUGGAACUGCUCGGUAUACUGCUGGUCUUGAGCCACUCAGGGGCUACCGGAAACAAAUGGUGGAGCGGUGAAAUGCGUAGAUAUCAUUUGGAACGCCAAUGGUGAAAACAGGUAGCUGGGGGUGUGCUGACGCUGAGACACGGAAAGCCAGGGGAGCGAAACGGG